rnacentral:tRNA from 1 species
AAGGAAGUAGUUUUAUUUAAAAUAAGAAGUUUGAAACUUUUAGAUGGAUCUUUUGUGGUUUCUUCUUUA